rnacentral:rRNA from 1 species
UGGGGGAUAUUGCACAAUGGGCGAAAGCCUGAUGCAGCGACGCCGCGUGGGGGAUGAAUGCCUUCGGGUUGUAAACUUCUUUUGCUCUGAACAAGGCAUGCUAAUGGGUGUGUUGAGUGUAGGGGUUGAUUAGCGCCGGCUAACUACGUGCCAGCAGCCGCGGUAAUACGUAGGGCGCGAGCGUUGUCCGGAAUUUUUGGGCGUAAAGGGCUUGUAGGUGGCUGGUUGCGUCUGUCGUGAAAGCUCAUGGCUUAACGGGGGGUUUGGGGUGGGUACGGGCUGGCUGGAGUGCAGUAGGGGAGGCUGGAAUUACUGGUGUAGCGGUGGAAAGAGCAGAUAUCAGGAGGAAUACCGGUGGCGAAGGCGGGUCUCUGGGAUGUUACUGACAAUGAGGAGCGAAAGCAUGGGGAGCGAACAGG